UACGUAGGGGGCUAGCGUUGUCCGGAAUCAUUGGGCGUAAAGCGCGCGUAGGCGGCCCGGUAAGUCCGCUCUGAAAGCCCCGGGCUCAACCUGGGAAUGGCAGUGGAAACUAGGGGACUUGAAUCUGGCAGAGGGGGGUGGAAUUCCACGUGUAGCAGUGAAAUGCGUAGAGAUGUGGAGGAACACCGAUGGCGAAGGCAGCCCCCUGGGCUGAGAUUGACGCUCAGGCACGAAAGCGUGGGGAGCGAACAGG
rnacentral:rRNA from 1 species